ensembl:lncRNA
ACACAACUGUAAAGAUAUUCUAGGUGAGAAGGGAAAGGAUCCUUAACUGUUUUCAGAAGGAUACUAACUACAGAAACCUAGGUUCCAGGCAAUCCAGAAGGAUCACCCCUUUCCUAUCCCAAAAGACGGUGUGCAUCACUUUACCCACUGAGGACUGCAUCUUGAACUUUCACUUUGGUUGGGAAUUCACAUUUCCACUCCAUGGACUGCUGUUUUGACUCCUGCUCGUAGUGGUGACAUCAAGUCUCAUCAUCAGUAAUGUUGUGAUCCAGGAAACUGUCAACUUCAGCCUCAUGUUUGUUCAGUAGGUCUUGAUAAUAUAAUGGAAUAUUGGUGGGGAGGUUCAGCCACUGCUGUCAUACCAACGUCCACCUCUGAUGUCGUGGCCAACAUAAUAAAAUAGGAGGCAUUAGUUUCAAGCAGUCCUCGUGCUUAUCUUUUUCCUCCCAGAUCUGCGUUAUCACUGAAAAACUGACCCAUCCCAUUAAGAACUUCUGAAAAAGCAAGUUUUUGCUGCUCACAUUUCACAAUGAGGUGUUUUCAUAGUUUUUUAGAAUAUUCACAGAUUGUCAAACACUUUGUUAAAUACCCUGUUUAAGGAUGCAGUCUUUGGUAGAAAUACCUGAGUGGAGCCCUGAGGGUUUUUUAUUAAUCAUACUCUAAACAUGCCGUAUUACAUCUUGUAGGACGAAGGGACAAUUUCAAGAACCCACUUAUCCAGUCAAAUAACUGGGAGGUAUCAAUGAGAUAAGACUGUCUCCUGCUUCAGUGCAGGCUUAGCAACAGAGGUGAGGGCUCCAGUGCCUCUUCCCAAAGUCUAGUUAGUAAAGUCUCCAGUAAUGGGUGUUCUUUUCUUAUUUUUAAUGUAUUAUCUAGGCUUAGUGAUGGUCAAAAUGACUUCAAAAGAAUCACCUUGAAUUUUAUUCAUGAGAUACAAAGAAACCCAGAAGCAUGAUGAUGCUUGUAUAACAUAAUCUUAACACAUUCAUGAGUGCUAUGUCAAUAAAUGUAAGCUGCUAUU